rnacentral:rRNA from 1 species
CGUGUGGUUCUAUUUUGUUGGUUUCUAGGACCGCCGUAAUGAUUAAUAGGGACAGUCGGGGGCAUCAGUAUUCAAUUGUCAGAGGUGAAAUUCUUGGAUUUAUUGAAGACUAACUACUGCGAAAGCAUCUGCCAAGGAUGUUUUCAUUAAUCAGGAACGAAAGUUAGGGGAUCGAAGACGAUCAGAUACCGUCGUAGUCUUAACCAUAAACUAUGCCGACUAGGGAUCGGACGGUGUUAUUUUUUGACCCGUUCGGCACCUUACGAGAAAUCAAAGUGCUUGGGCUCCAGGGGGAGUAUGGUCGCAAGGCUGAAACUUAAAGAAAUUGACGGAAGGGCACCACCAGGGGUGGAGCCUGCGGCUUAAUUUGACUCAACACGGGGAAACUCACCAGGUCCAGACACAAUGAGGAUUGACAGAUUGAGAGCUCUUUCUUGAUUUUGUGGGUGGUGGUGCAUGGCCGUUCUUAGUUGGUGGAGUGAUUUGUCUGCUNAAUUGCGAUGACNAACGAGACCUUAACCUGCUAAAUAGCCCGUAUUGCUUUGGCAGUACGCUGGCUUCUUAGAGGGACUAUCGGCUCAAGCCGAUGGAAGUUUGAGGCAAUAACAGGUCUGUGAUGCCCUUANAUGUUCUGGGCCGCACGCGCGCUACACUGACGGAGCCNGCGAGUACUUCCUUGUCUGAAAGGNCCGGGUAAUCUUGNNAAACUCCGUCGUGC